rnacentral:rRNA from 1 species
UGCGUACCUUUUGUAUAAUGGGUCAGCGACUUAUAUUCUGUAGCAAGGUUAACCGAAUAGGGGAGCCGAAGGGAAACCGAGUCUUAACUGGGCGUUAAGUUGCAGGGUAUAGACCCGAAACCCGGUGAUCUAGCCAUGGGCAGGUUGAAGGUUGGGUAACACUAACUGGAGGACCGAACCGACUAAUGUUGAAAAAUUAGCGGAUGACUUGUGGCUGGGGGUGAAAGGCCAAUCAAACCGGGAGAUAGCUGGUUCUCCCCGAAAGCUAUUUAGGUAGCGCCUCGUGAAUUCAUCUCCGGGGGUAGAGCACUGUUUCGGCAAGGGGGUCAUCCCGACUUACCAACCCGAUGCAAACUGCGAAUACCGGAGAAUGUUAUCACGGGAGACACACGGCGGGUGCUAACGUCCGUCGUGAAGAGGGAAACAACCCAGACCGCCAGCUAAGGUCCCAAAGUCAUGGUUAAGUGGGAAACGAUGUGGGAAGGCCCAGACAGCCAGGAUGUUGGCUUAGAAGCAGCCAUCAUUUAAAGAAAGCGUAAUAGCUCACUGGUCGAGUCGGCCUGCGCGGAAGAUGUAACGGGGCUAAACCAUGCACCGAAGCUGCGGCAGCGACACUAUGUGUUGUUGGGUAGGGGAGCGUUCUGUAAGCCUGUGAAGGUG